GAUGAACGCUGGCGGCGUGCUUAACACAUGCAAGUCGAGCGAAGCACUUAAGUUCGAUUCUUCGGAUGAAGACUUUUGUGACUGAGCGGCGGACGGGUGAGUAACGCGUGGGUAACCUGCCUCAUACAGGGGGAUAACAGUUAGAAAUGGCUACUAAUACCGCAUAAGACCACGGUACUGCAUGGUACAGUGGUAAAAACUCCGGUGGUAUGAGAUGGACCCGCGUCUGAUUAGGUAGUUGGUGAGGUAACGGCUCACCAAGCCGACGAUCAGUAGCCGACCUGAGAGGGUGACCGGCCACAUUGGGACUGAGACACGGCCCAGACUCCUACGGGAGGCAGCAGUGGGGAAUAUUGCACAAUGGGCGAAAGCCUGAUGCAGCGACGCCGCGUGAAGGAUGAAGUAUUUCGGUAUGUAAACUUCUAUCAGCAGGGAAGAAAAUGACGGUACCUGACUAAGAAGCCCCGGCUAACUACGUGCCAGCCGCCGCAGUAA
rnacentral:rRNA from 1 species